rnacentral:rRNA from 1 species
UACGUAGGGUGCGAGCGUUAAUCGGAAUUACUGGGCGUAAAGCGUGCGCAGGCGGUCUUGCAAGUCAGGUGUGAAAUCUCCGGGCUUAACCUGGGAACUGCACUUGAGACUGCAAGGCUGGAGUACGGCAGAGGGGGAUGGAAUUCCGCGUGUAGCAGUGAAAUGCGUAGAUAUGCGGAGGAACACCGAUGGCGAAGGCAAUCCCCUGGGCCUGUACUGACGCUCAUGCACGAAAGCGUGGGGAGCAAACAGG